GAUAUCCGUGCUAAUUGCAGGGCUAUUACAUGUUUUCUAUAAUUAGAAUAUUAAUUAUAACACGUUUUGAAUAUAGUAUGAACUUGCUAUUUCAAAGGAUCUAUCAUAAUACAUCUAAUUGGUUAAACCAAUUGUCCAUAUAAGUUUCUUACCUAUCAGUCAUUGAUGGUUGGGUAUUGGCCUACCAUAACAUUAACAGGUAACGGGGAAUUAAGGUUUGAUUCCGGAGAAGGAGCUUGAGAAAUAGCUACUAUUUCUAAGGAAAGCAGCAGGCGCGUAAAUUACCUAACUUUGUAAUAAAGAGGUAGUUAACAAAACUAUCAGCAUAUAAUGUUUUUUCAUUUUAUGACUGGAAUGAACAAAGUUUAUAUAUCUUUGUAAGGAGCAAUUAAAGGGCAAGUCUGGUGCCAGCAGCCGCGGUAAUUCCAGCUUUAAUAGCAUAUAUUAAACUUGUUGCAGUUAAAACGCUCGUAGUUAGUUUUUGAUCAUUGCGGACGUGUUGCAAAUUUGUGAUUAUGUCCUAAAUGAUUUAGUAACGAACUUGGUUUUAUUACUGUUUGUUUGUUAUUUUCACUAUAAUAAAAUAAUAGUGUUCAUUGCGAUAUAUCAAUGGAUUCUAUAGUGUAGCAUGCGAAUCUAAAGCUUAAUUUUAGGUUUAGUUCAAAACUGAAGUUAAGCAAUAUUGCUAUAAAAACUGUUUAAGGUAUAUAUAAUCAACCGUUAGAGGUGAAAUUCUUAGAUCAGUUGAUGAUAUUCUAACGCGAAAGCUUUUACCUAGGAAGUUUUUAUUAAUAAAGAACGAAAGUUAAAGGAUCAAGACGAUUAGAUACCGUUGUAGUCUUAACUGUAACAUUACC
rnacentral:rRNA from 1 species